AUACGUAGGGAGCAAGCGUUGUCCGGAUUUACUGGGUGUAAAGGGUGCGUAGGCGGCUUUUUAAGUCGGGCGUGAAAGCUGUGGGCUUAACCCACAAAUUGCGUUCGAAACUGGAGGGCUUGAGUGAAGUAGAGGUAGGCGGAAUUCCCGGUGUAGCGGUGAAAUGCGUAGAGAUCGGGAGGAACACCAGUGGCGAAGGCGGCCUACUGGGCUUUAACUGACGCUGAGGCACGAAAGCAUGGGUAGCAAACAGGAUUAGAUACCCUGGUAGUCCAUGCCGUAAACGAUGAUUACUAGGUGUGGGGGGUCUGACCCCUUCCGUGCCGGAGUUAACACAAUAAGUAAUCCACCUGGGGAGUACGGCCGCAAGGUUGAA
rnacentral:rRNA from 1 species